rnacentral:rRNA from 1 species
UGGUCAGUGAAUGAAAUGGUAGGGGAGCGUCGUAUACGGGGUGAAGUAUGAGCGAAAGCGCAUGUGGACUGUAUACGAGUGAGAAUGCCGGAAUGAGUAGCGAGAAAUAUGUGAGAAUCAUAUUGGCCGAAAGUCUAAGGUUUCCGGAGGAAGGUUCGUCCGCUCCGGGUAAGCCGGGAGCUAAGGUGAGGCCGAAAGGCGUAGCCGAUGCACAUACGGUAGAGAUUCCGUAGCUGCCGGAGGAUUUAAGCAGAGGGACACUGUCAAAGGGUAUGACCCGGGCGUUGGUAGCCCCGGGCGAAAGGGACUGAAAUAUAGUAGGGAAGCAUACUUGGCGGCAGGCGAGAAAAGCUCUGUGGAUAUCUGAGGCACCCGUACCGCAAACCGACACAGGUAGACAGGAAGAGAAUUCUAAGGCCAACGGGAGAAGGGUUGUUAAGGAACUCGGCAAGUUGACCCCGUAACUUAGGGAAAAGGGGUGCUCCUGAAAGGGAGCCGCAGAGAAUAGGUCCAGGCGACUGUUUAGCAAAAACACAGCUCUAUGCUAAAUCGAAAGAUGACGUAUAUGGGGUGACACCUGCCCGGUGCCGGAAGGUUAAGAGGAGGAGUGAGAGCUCUGAAUUGAAGCCCCGGUAAACGGCGGCCGUAACUAUAACGGUCCUAAGGUAGCGAAAUUCCUUGUCAGGUAAGUUCUGACCCGCACGAAUGGUGUAACGAUCUGGACACUGUCUCAACAGCCCGCCCGGCGAAAUUGUAGUACCGGUGAAGAUGCCGGUUACCCGCGACAAGACGGAAAGACCCCAUGGAGCUUUACUGCAGCUUAAUAUUGGAUUUCGGUAUUUCAUGUACAGGAUAGGUGGGAGGCAGAGAAGGCAGCACGCCAGUGUUGCUGGAGCCGCCGUUGGGAUACCACUCUUGAGGUGCUGAAAUUCUAACCUGCGGCCGUGAAUCCGGUCGGGGGACAGUGUUAGGCGGGCAGUUUGACUGGGGCGGUCGCCUCCAAAAAGGUAACGGAGGCGCUCAAAGGUUGGCUCAGCAUGGACGGAAACCAUGCCAGAGAGUGUAAACGCACAAGCCAGCCUAACUGCGAGAGCGACAGUUCGAGCAGUAACGAAAGUUGGAGUUAGUGAUCCGGUGGUAUGUGAGUGGAAAUGCCAUCGCUCAACGGAUAAAAGCUACCCUGGGGAUAACAGGCUGAUCUCCCCCAAGAGUCCACAUCGUCGGGGAGGUUUGGCACCUCGAUGUCGGCUCAUCGCAUCCUGGGGCUGAAUUCGGUCCCAAGGGUUUGGCUGUUCGCCAAUUAAAGCGGUACGCGAGCUGGGUUCAGAACGUCGUGAGACAGUUCGGUCCCUAUCUGUCGUGGGCGCAGGAUAUUUGAGAGGAGCUGUCCCUAGUACGAGAGGACCGGGAUGGACGUACCUCUGGUGCACCAGUUGUCGUGCCAACGGCACAGCUGGGCAGCUAAGUACGGAUCGGAUAAACGCUGAAGGCAUCUAAGCGUGAAGCCGACCUCAAGAUAAGAUAUGCCACUGAGUAAUCAGGUAAGACCCCUUGA